UGAAAUCUCAACAGGCCCGGACACUGGAAGGAUUGACAGAUUGAUAGCUCUUUCUUGAUUCGGUGCGUGGUGGUGCAUGGCCGUUCUUAGUUGGUUGAGUGAUUUGUCUUGUUAAUUCCGAUAACGAACGAGACCUUAACCUGCUAAAUAGUGACGCGGUUCAUCGAACCGUGGGCCACUUCUUAGAGGGACUAUCGGAUUCAAACCGAUGGAAGUGUGAGGCAAUAA
rnacentral:rRNA from 1 species